AGCGUGAUGUAGUGGUUUGGGCACUGGAGUAUGAUUCCAGAGACCAGGGUUCAAAUCCCUGUUCAGCCA